UGAAAGCCAUCCAUUUGGACCAUUGU
rnacentral:piRNA from 1 species